CUACUUCCUGCUUUUUGACCAGCUGGAUAACCACCAUUUGUUUGUGAAGAAGGAAAAUAUUGGGAAAAAUUAACUUUCCUUACCAUGCUUUCUACAUUAGGUUACAAGAUUAUCGAAGAGACCAGGUACAAGAAAAUGAGCUGGCCUUCUAAGCACCAAGGACAACUGGUUUCUCUUUAUCUGGAACACCCGUUGCUACUUGAUUCUUUCUGAGAAGACAUUUUCACGCCCUGACAUGGGAAGUGGAGAGCACUUCCACGUAACUGCAGCCUGCUGGAGAGCCGCUGGGCCACGGAUAACAACACAUUCUCCAUCUUCUCGCCUGGAUGUACCUACAACUUAAAGGGGUUUGCCAGGCCCCCUACCCCAGGGAACAUUCACUCUGAGGAGAUUUUUGACUAGUGAAUUCCAGUGAUGUAGGGACAAAAAAGAUCGAGGACCAACGCAUAGGUGAUGUGUUCCUUCAACCCACCACCUUCCUGGCUCACACACAACUGGAUUCUUUCUUUCAAUUCUCCAGUAAGCACCUGGAUCGCCAGACACUGCACUUCCGCUACCAAUUGAAGGUCAAGUCUCCUUGUAUUGUACGUAAUGAUGUCUCCCUCUCACGUGGAGAAAGGAUGGCUGUGAGAAUUACUGGGGGAGGAGGGAACUUUGCUCACUGGGGCCAAAAGACUUGAUUUACUGC